UAGGGAAUCUUCCACAAUGGACGCAAGUCUGAUGGAGCAACGCCGCGUGAGUGAAGAAGGUUUUCGGACCGUAAAGCUCUGUUGUUGGUGAAGAAGGAUAGAGGUAGUAACUGGCCUUUAUUUGACGGUAAUCAACCAGAAAGUCACGGCUAACUACGUGCCAGCAGCCGCGGUAAUACGUAGGUGGCAAGCGUUGUCCGGAUUUAUUGGGCGUAAAGCGAGCGCAGGCGGAAGAAUAAGUCUGAUGUGAAAGCCCUCGGCUUAACCGAGGAAUUGCAUCGGAAACUGUUUUCUUGAGUGCAGAAGAGGAGAGUAGAACUCCAUGUGUAGCGGUGGAAUGCGUAGAUAUAUGGAAGAAUACCAGUGGCGAAGGCGGCUCUCUGGUCUGCAAACUGACGCUGAGGCUCGAAAAGCAUGGGUAGCGAACAGGAUUAGAUACCCUGGUAGUCCAUGCCGUAAAACGAUGAGUGCUAAGUGUUGGGAGGCUUCCGCCUCUCAGUGCUGCAGCUAACGCAUUAAGCACUCCGCCUGGGGGAGUACGACCG
rnacentral:rRNA from 1 species